rnacentral:rRNA from 1 species
UGCAAGUCGAACGGCAGCGCGGGGCAACCUGGCGGCGAGUGGCGAACGGGUGAGUAAUAUAUCGGAACGUACCCUGGAGUGGGGGAUAACGUAGCGAAAGUUACGCUAAUACCGCAUACGAUCUAAGGAUGAAAGUGGGGGAUCGCAAGACCUCAUGCUCCUGGAGCGGCCGAUAUCUGAUUAGGUAGUUGGUGGGGUAAUGGCCUACCAAGCCUACGAUCUAUAGCUGGUCUGAGAGGACGACCAGCCACACUGGAACUGAGACACGGUCCAGACUCCUACGGGAGGCAGCAGUGGGGAAUAUUGGACAAUGGGGGAAACCCUGAUCCAGCCAUGCCGCGUGAGUGAUGAAGGCCUUAGGGUUGUAAAGCUCUUUUGUUAGGGAAGAUGAUGACGGUACCUGAAGAAUAAGCACCGGCUAACUUCGUGCCAGCAGCCGCGGUAAUACGAAGGGUGCUAGCGUUGUUCGGAAUCACUGGGCGUAAAGCGCGCGUAGGCGGCUUUGCAAGUCAGAGGUGAAAUACCCAGGCUCAACCUGGGAACUGCCUUUGAAACUGCAAAGCUUGAGUGUCGGAGGGGAUAGCGGAAUUCCUAAUGUAGAGGUGAAAUUCGUAGAUAUUAGGAGGAACACCGGUGGCGAAGGCGGCUAUCUGGACGACA